GAUGAACGCUAGCGGGAGGCCUAACACAUGCAAGCCGAGCGGUAGAGUUUCUUCGGAAACUUGAGAGCGGCGCACGGGUGCGUAACACGUGUGCAACCUACCUUUAUCUGGGGGAUAGCCUUUCGAAAGGAAGAUUAAUACCCCAUAAUAUAAUGAUUGGCAUCAAUUAUUAUUGAAAACUCCGGUGGAUAGAGAUGGGCACGCGUAAGAUUAGAUAGUUGGUGAGGUAACGGCUCACCAAGUCAAUGAUCUUUAGGGGUCCUGAGAGGGAGAUCCCCCACACUGGUACUGAGACACGGACCAGACUCCUACGGGAGGCAGCAGUGUGGAAUAUUAGACAAUGGGUGAGAGCCUGAUCCAGCCAUCCCGCGUGAAGGAUGACGGUCCUAUGGAUUGUAAACUUCUUUUGUACAGGGAUAAACCUACCCUCGUGAGGGUAGCUGAAGGUACUGUACGAAUAAGCACCGGCUAACUCCGUG
rnacentral:rRNA from 1 species